rnacentral:lncRNA from 1 species
GCCACUGCACUCCAGCCUGGCAACAGAGCAAGACUCCGUCUCAAACAAAACACAGCACAACAAAACAAAAAAGAACGAGUUUCAUAGUGAGAAACAGCGGAGAAACCAGCUUACCUGGUGGGCCUUGAGUGGCCCCUACAAACUCCAACCUGUUCAAGACUCAUUUGCCACGUUGUACCUUCCAGCCAAGGCAAUCCCCCCAGCCUGAGCUACUUCCCAGACCAGACCACAGAAGCAAGGCCAUGCUCACCGAGGACCCCACUUGUGGACUAGACUUCUGUCCUGCUGUGGCCUCAAAAGCAAUAGCCAGGGCCCCAUGAUGAAGCUGCCAUCAGAAGCACAGGUGUGCCUGGCAAGGACACAGGAGGACCACGGCUCCAUGCCGAUGAGAAUGGCAGCUAAGUCUGAAGCUUUCUAUGAUUUAGAUUCCUGGUUGCGAGAGGGAGCCUAUAGGAAUGGCGAGAAGAGUGAGAACUUUGCAGAGGCAGCAAGGAUUUUCUCUUUGGGUCACCGCGUGUUCUUUGGGGUCAUAUAAAGUACUCUGCUCAAGAACAAAGGCCAGUGUGGCUAUGAUGAAAAUGCAUUGACAGAGGGGCUUCAAUGUCUAUGGAACAGAAACAAGAGCCCUGGACCAAGAGGAGGAAAUGUGGAUUCACCAACAUGUUGAAAAUCAUUCUAACAUCUCCAGGCCUCAGCGUGGUCAUUCACAAAUGGAAUUCAACAAUUUCUAAGGCAACUUUUCUAACAUUUUGGAGAUAAAAAAUUUAAUGUUUAGUAAGUGCUUAUCCUGUGGCAAGCACCAUGCAAGAUCCUUUAAAUUUUUAAUUCUUUAAAAAAAAUCCUGAGCAGCACAACUGUGCAUUUCUCAUAUCACCAAUGUGUGUAUUAGAAAACGGAGGCCCAGUGAGAUAGAGUCCCAUGGUUGAGAAGUAGAGGGGCAGAAUUCUAGAAUCAACAUUGCCAUCCCCAAGAAACGCUGGCUCCCCUCUGCCUCCGCAGCAUUUCCCACACCUCAUGCCCAGAGGCUUUCACAGUCUGGUUCUUCAGUCUCUAAUCCUUCAUAGUUAGAAGGGAGGGUCGUAACUGCAUUCCUUUGUACUGUCAUCAGCUACUUAAAGUGGCAAGAAACAAUAGCCUCUUUCUCUGGAGAGUCCCAGCUCUGCUUUCCUGGAAGGGUUGCUCUUUGGACCCUGCUGGAUCUCUGAGUGAUGGCCAGGGCAGCCCCCAGGUGCACUGGGAAGUUCAGAGGACUCCUGCCACCUAGCACUUCCCUGCAGAUCUUGAAACGUAAAGUGAUGUGAGUCCCUAUUUCCCCCUUACCAAGGCUCCCUCAACUGCCGGUUAUUUGACAUAUACUCAGUCUAUUACAGGACUCAAGAAAGCAUAUAAUGACUCCAUUCACAAAACACUAAGGACUCAUCUUUUCCUGCCAAACACUCACUUUCCUUAUCACCAUGAUGCUUCCUAUCCUUGUGUCUUGACGAAGAGGUGUCUGCCUGUGCAGGGAUGCCUCAUGCCCAAAAUCUCUUCUCCUUGUACACCUGUUACUGAUGCUGGAACCCUGAAAUAAUCACCAGAUGUUCACUAAGUCCCACUGCAAUCAGCGCUGAGAGGGAUCAUUGAGAACCAUGAUAUCUAAGAGGAAUCAUUGCAAAGUGAUUAAGAUCAUGGGCUUCCAAGUCAGUCACGAUGGGUUUCAACUAUUAAUACAUGUAAUAGUUUAAAGACAGCUCUAAAUUUGUUGCCUCUCCGCUUAUUCCUCUCUCCUUGAUUCUGGGCAGGUCCCUGUAACUAGCUUUGACAAAGAGAACACAGUGGAAGUGAUCCUGCCCACCCCUUUUCCAAGGUAGACCUUAAAAGACCUGUAGCUUCCACUAUUGUGCCUCCUAGAAGCCUGUACCAUGUAAGAAUUCUAACUACCAUGGGAACAUCAUGCUGUGAGGAAGCCCAAGCUAGCCAUUUGGGAGAGAGGAAGGCCACGUAGAGAAGCACCAAGAAACUAGACAUGUUUGUGAAGCCUACUUGAACUUUCCAGCCCAACUCCAGCUGAAUGCAUCCAAGUGAAUGGCCCCAGCUGAUCCCCUGUGGAGCAGAACCACCCUGCUGACUCCUGACUGAAUCCCUGAUCCACAGAAUUUGGCUAUGGGCUCAGAUCCUCUCUUACUUCAAGGGAUCUGGGCUGGAUGCUUGGGCGCGAGAGAGAAGAAUGGCUCUCAACUGGGCGGGGAAGAGUAGCCCGCAAGGAGGCAGCGGCUCCAGGAUGGGAAGUGAGGAUGCCAAAAAAGCAUCCCUAGGAAGGUUCCUGCCUUUCCACGAGGCUAUGGGGCUUUGAAGGUGGCUAGGACAUCAUGUUAAUGAAGUCAAGACUAUGGCCCCAUCUCUAGAGGCCAAAGCUUGAAACAGCAAAUAGAAAGACCUUUCCAAGCCACUACCCUUAGCAUUGAUGGCAAGGGUCUGGGUGAGAAAAUCCCUCUUGUCCACUAAACGGAAAUCAACUUGAAGCAUGUUGCCAACAGAUAUAUCAGCUUUCUCCAGGAAGAAAUGGCACUGAUGCUCCUAGACUGGAUUUCUCAUCCUCUAAGUCAGGCCUGGCCUUGGAAGCAAAGCCCCCAGGAAUGACUGGAAGACAACACUCUGCAGACCCCUUCCACAGGGUACCCCUGCUCUCCAGGAAGGGCCUUCAGGGCAGCAUUUGGAGGUGGCAUGAGCUAGCAGCGGCGUGCAGCCUGGUCACUGUCUGAUCUGGUCAGCCCAGCCGCACAGAACACCACACAGGCUCUGGCAGCUCCCUGGGAAAGAAGAAAGCAGCAUCUUGCAUGUGUGGCUUAUUCUGAAAGGAAUAGUAUCUGAGGGAUUUGAUGGACUCUGACAGGGGGAAGAAGGUAGUGAAAAAGAUGGAACAAAGAUGCCAUUUAAAAAUACUGGCUCGUGUUCAGGAUUUCGCUAUUUUUUACUGCAAGGAACAAGUAAAAAAAAAAAUCCUCCUAUUGAUGAGUAUUUUUCUACAGUCAUUAAAAGUCAAAGGACUCAGGGCUUCCGACUUUCCCUCUUGGGAAACCUGUAAGCUCGUCUUCUGGACAGCUUAGAAAAGGGCUGGAUGGCGAAGGCGAGAGGCUUAAAGGCCCCCAGCAAGCAGCUCCGCCGAGGAACGGGUGCAGGGGACACACUGUGUUUUCAGUUCAGAUUCUGUGAUCUUUCUGCCAAACAGGGGUUUACAAAGCAAAAACCUCCAGAGAAUUCUCAUACUUUCUGGCUUAUUCUCCUGGUGUUCGUCUUAACAGGAAUCAGCUGUUUGCCUUCUCACUUAUACAGCAUGUUGCUGAGGCGAAUUUAGCAUCUGGCCUGGCUAUUAUUAAAAACAAGAACAUCCUGCUCUGUUGGGAGAACAGCACCACUGGCAAUAAAAGGACAGAGAUCAUUUGCAUUCAGGAUUCCAGAGAUGUGUUUCAGUUCAAUAUCUGCGCUCCCUCCUUCCACCCCUGCUUUCAUUUUAAGAUUUCCUGAUGCAUCCAUCACUUGCAGCGUGGUCAACUUUUUUUCUGAAACAGGCACACACAGGCAGAGCAUAUUUUUUCCUUUCACUGGGAGGCAGGAAUGACUGGAGUUGUUCAAACACCGGUCCGUUCCUGCAAUUCCUAUGAUAAAGUUGAACUACCAGAGGAAUUUUUUUUUUUUUUUUUACAACUGCGGAAAUGAAAAAGUAAACAAGACUGGGACUGCAUUGGUAUUUAGGCUCCAGCUUUUUGUUGUUGUUUUUGUCUUUCCCUUUUUUUAAGCCAUUGGGCUAGGAGCCUGAAGGGACCAUAUAAUAUGAAAAACGCUGAGAGGUUUUAUUAGCCAAUAAAAAAAAAAACUGAGUUCCUAUUAACCACUUAACUCCUUGCUGAAGUUCAAACUUGCUUUCUCCUUGGAUCCUUCUCUCCCUCUCAUGCCCACGAGGAAUGACGGUUGGUUCACCAAUCUUUCCCUGCACAACCUGAGCUCACAGUUUGUGCUCCAGAAGGUGUGGUUGAGAAUCGUAUUCAAUAAUAAUCUCUGUAUUUCUCAUCUGUGAAGCCAUAAAUAAGAUUUCUGUAAGGAGCCAAAUGUUCUACGCCCCCAAAUCUACACACACAAAGACUCUUUAAGCACUCUACUAAAAAAGAGUAAAGUCAUUGUGAUUUCUAGGAUUUUAAAUACUAAAUGAUGGUUAGGGAGAACAAAAUCAGGCUGAAGCAUUUCUGGGAUAAAUAAUGAUCCCACAAAACGCUCCUCUCAUUUGGGGGCAGAAGAAUGAAGGGAAACUCACAGAGAAACAGAAAAUGAAAUUGGUCCAACUAUUUCACUGCUGGAGAUAGAUGGAGUUAGGAUACAUAGGUGACUUGGUUUAGGAAAGAGAGGAUGUCGAAGGUGAUUUAAAUCCUAACACUGUUUUAUUAAUCGUGCCACAAUUCUACAUGUCAUGUGAUUUUGUUAUCUGCUUUUUGCUGCUUUUAAAUAAAUUUGUACUUUUCUAUCAAUCCAUCAUCCAAUUGUGUUUCGGGUGUUCUUGGCAUUCCCAUCUCUCAAAAACACCCUUAGUUUCUGCCAUUAUAUACUGUAUCUCUAAUUCCACGAAGCUCACUCUAUCCUAUUUCCAUUUUCCACAUUCGGGUUAACUCUAGUACUUUUGGUCCUCCCAGAGAAAUUUCCUAAGGCCACAUGAGCCUGUGCGCUUUUGUGUUCUGGUCCCAUUUAAUGUUACUGCUCCAAGAGCUACUCCCUGAAGGGCUUAUGUGGAAGAAUUUUGCCUUUUUGUUAAAAGUAUUUUGCUCUAUGUCCUUGAUUUCUUUAUAAGAAUAGCAGGUGGGGGAAAUUCUUCCCUUUUUAUUGGCUACAGAGUGGGACAGAAUGACCUGGAAAGAAUAGAUAGCAAUCAAGAAGUGAGCUAUGUUUGCAGUGCUAAAACAGGAAGCAAGUUUUGCAGAAAACCCCACUAAGUGGCCUGACAUCAAUGCAACAAGAUAAUAAGAAACGAAUUAAAAGACAUUUUGGUAAAUGUUAAAUGUGUUUCCAGAAAUUUGAUCCCUCUGCUUCCCAAAUGGCUGAGCAUAUCUGAAUAGCAGGGCUGGAUUGAGUCACAAACUUUUGAAUAAUAGCUUUACAAAAAUUACUAAAAACUCCUUAAAUGUUAGCUUCUCCCUGCUCCCUUAAUUGACAUAUCAAGGAGCAUCCAGUGUCCCUUGUCCCAGUAACCUAUUUGAAGACAAGUAAUUGUUUCUUUAUCACUUGUGGGAUAAAGGCAGUACUUUUUUUUUUUUUUGAAGAAUUUGCAGAAAUAAAAAACUGAGGCCAAGAAACACUGUGUCUCCUGAGUACAUGUGCAGGGGUGGUGAGCCCCAUCUUUCUCUGAGUGGGUGGCUGUUCAGGUACCCUUUCCAAACUUCACCCUCCUCCUUCCC